GGGGCUGGCGCGCCGAGUCCUCUGACGGCCCCAGCCGGGGAAUUUCAAUUUGAAACGCAGCGGAGGGAGGAGGCGGCGCGGCGGCCGGGGCGGCGGGGCUGAGGCUGAGGCUGAGGCUGGACGGGUCCCCGUGGCGAACGUGGUCCGGGGCUGCGGCGUCCGGCUUAAGCUCCGAUCAUGACUACAGAGGUGGGUUCUGCGUCUGAAGUCAAGAAAGAACCUGAUCAGUUGGGAGCAGAUGCCGCCAAGGAGAAACCUAAUGAAGUAACAGAAAAGCAGAAUCAGUCAACCGAACCAUCUCCUCCAGCUGAGAGCCAAAGUAGUCCACGCCGCCGCCAGAAGAGAGAGAAGGAUCCAUCAGAGAGCAGGGGGAUUUCCCGAUUCAUACCUCCAUGGCUUAAGAAGCAGAAGUCCUACAACUUAGUUGUGGCCAAAGAUGGAGGAGAUAAAAAAGAGCCCAGCCAAGCUGUUGUGGAAGAACAGAUUCCGGAUAAGGAGGAGUCUCUUUCUGAGGAAGAAAGGCAGGCGAAGGGUGAUGCUGAAGAAAUAGCUUCAAGGAAACAGCAGGAAACAAAGGUUGAGGAAGAAAAAACUGCAAUGAGCAGUCCUGAGACACAGCCUGCUGAAGCUGGGCAAAAGAAAGGAGAAGAGGAGAAGUUCAAGGAUAUACAGGAAGACAAACCUGAAGGAGAAGCAGCCAAAAGAGAGACAAAGGAAGUGCAGACCAAUGAGGUGAAAGUGGAGAAGACUUCCCAGAAAGUCACCAAGAAGACCAAGACUGUCCUGUGUAAGGUGACCCUCCUAGAUGGCACCGAAUACAGCUGUGACCUGGAGAAACGUGCUAAGGGUCAAGUGUUAUUUGACAAAGUAUGUGAACACCUUAAUCUCCUGGAAAAGGACUACUUUGGACUUUCUAUUCAGGAAAACACCGAGCAAAAAAACUGGCUGGAUCCUGCAAAGGAAAUAAAGAAACAACUGCGAAAUCUUCCUUGGCUGUUCACCUUCAAUGUGAAGUUUUAUCCUCCCGAUCCUUCUCAGUUGACUGAAGAUAUCACCAGAUACUUCCUGUGCCUUCAGCUCCGUAAGGACAUUGCUUCCGGCCGCCUGCCUUGUUCUUUCGUGACACACGCCCUCCUGGGCUCCUACACACUUCAGGCCGAACUCGGGGACCAUGACCCAGAGCAGCGUGGCAGCACCGACCUCAGUGACUUCCAGUUCGCUCCCACGCAGACUAAGGAGCUGGAAGAAAAAGUGGCAGAGCUGCACAGAACCCACAGGGGCUUAUCUCCAGCACAAGCUGAUUCUCAGUUCUUAGAAAAUGCAAAGAGGCUUUCCAUGUACGGCGUUGACCUACAUCAUGCCAAGGAUUCAGAAGGUGUGGACAUCAAGCUAGGCGUGUGUGCGAAUGGACUUCUCAUUUACAAAGACAGACUGAGAAUCAAUCGUUUUGCUUGGCCGAAAAUCUUGAAAAUUUCCUAUAAGCGCAGCAACUUCUACAUUAAAGUGAGACCAGCAGAGCUGGAACAGUUUGAGAGCACCAUUGGAUUCAAGCUGCCAAACCACCGGGCCGCAAAAAGACUAUGGAAAGUGUGUGUGGAGCAUCAUACUUUCUACAGGCUUGUGUCUCCAGAGCAGCCACCAAAGGCCAAGUUCCUGACCCUAGGGUCCAAAUUUCGCUACAGCGGCCGCACCCAGGCACAGACCCGGCAGGCUAGCACUCUCAUCGACCGGCCUGCGCCGCACUUUGAGCGCACCUCUAGCAAACGGGCCUCUGAGAUCCUGGAUGGAGCUCUGAUUGGGAUUGUGGACCAAAGUCUUAUGAAGGAUUUUCCUGCCCCUGCUGGUGAGGUUUCAGCAUAUGGUCCUGGAGUAGUCACCACAGCUGUGGUACAAGAUGGGGAUGGCAGAAGGGACAUCAGAAGCCCAGUGAAAGCCCCACAUGUGCAAAUCACUGAAGGAAAGAAAAAUUCCUUGAGAGUAGAAGGGGAUAAUAUUUAUGUCAGACAUAGCAAUUUAAUGUUGGAGGACCUGGAUAGAGCCCAGGAGGAAAUACUGAAACAUCAGGCUAGCAUUAGUGAACUCAAGCGCAAUUUUAUGGAGUCCACACCUGAGCCGCGCCCUAAUGAGUGGGAAAAACGACGUAUCACACCUCUGUCUCUACAGACUCACGGGAGUCUAGAAGAGGAGAUAACAUCACUUUUGUUUAGUGAAAAGGGCUUUUCUGAUAGCGUGAAAGCCUCCUUCACCUCAGCCACCAGUUGGACAGCAGAGGGCACUGUUGUGAGCUCUAAUGCCCCUUCUGAAAAGCUUUCUUCCUGGCCCUUCUCACAGUUGCCUGAGAGACGCGCUCCCGAAUCCGAAGGGCCUUGCGCUGGAGCCAGUGAUGCUGUCAAGAGUUCACAUGAGACUCUGAAUGUAGUGGAGGAGAAGCAGCAGGCAGAGGUUGGGAAAGACGAAAGAGUAAUCACAGAAGAAAUGAACGGUAAAGAGCUAUCACCUGGGAGUGGUCCUGGGGAGAUGCCUAAGGUGGAGCCUCUGACACAGAAAGACUCCACCUCCCUGUCUUCUGAGAGCAGCAGCAGCAGCAGUGAGAGCGAGGAGGAAGAUGUGGGAGAGUACCGGCCCCACCACCGAGUCACCGAGGGCACCAUAAGGGAAGAGCAGGAGGAGGAGGAGGAAGAGGUGGAGGAAGAAGCCGGCCGAGCAGCCAAGGUAGUAGAGAGGGAGGAAGCAGUGCCAGAAGCCAGCCCAGGCAAACAAGCAGGGGCCAGUGUAAUCACAGUAGACACAGUGACCCAGGAAAAUGUAGGGGAGCCCACGAUGCCUGCUGAGAAGAGUGUAAACGAAGGCACUAUUAAGCAAGACAUGAGCGAAGAAACAGAGGAGGAGCAACAUAAAGUUAACGGAGAGGUGGCUCAUGUUGACAUUGAUGUUUUGCCAGAGAUUAUUUGUUGUUCCGAGCCACCAGUGGUAAAAACAGAGAUGGUAACAAUUUCUGAUACCUCACAAAGGACAGAAAUCUCCACCAAGGAAGUCCCUAUUGUCCAAACUGAGACCAAAACCAUCACUUAUGAGUCUCCACAGGUUGAUGGCGGGGCUGGUGGUGACUCGGGCACGUUACUGACCGCACAAACCAUCACAUCUGACUCCGUGUCGACAACAACAACCACACACAUCACCAAGACUGUGAAAGGUGGAAUAUCUGAAACAAGAAUUGAGAAACGCAUCGUGAUCACAGGAGAUGCAGAUAUUGAUCAUGACGAGUUCAUACAAGACGCCCUUCUCUGAGAGUAAGGCUCCUGCUUUUCUCCCUUCCUGACUCCUGCUUGCCAUCCUUCCUGCUCCCCCCACUUGCUUCUGCUCAGAUUGGUGGCUGGGAUCCUGUCUGAAUUCUCUUUUGUCCUGGUACAGGCGCUGGCCCAGGCCAUCAGGGAAGCUCGUGAGCAGCACCCUGACAUGUCAGUCACCAGAGUGGUGGUGCACAAAGAAACGGAGUUGGAGGAAGGGGAUGACUAAGAGAAAUUUUCAAUUUUUAAACAACAUUCAACCUUGUGACACUGAAGAAUUUUGAUCAUUCCAAGUCUUAAUGCCACACCACUACUCCAGUGAAUAUAUCCUACGACUGGUAACAAUGACCAGAAACCUGAAGAAUUAAAAUGCCAACACCAAACCUUACCUUAACAGCUCUGGUCUAUACUGUUCCCUUGCAUUUAAUAUAUUAUUUUGUUUUAUAACCACUUUUGAAUAUUUAGUUCUGGUUUUUGUUAGAGUCUUAGUUUUGUUUCCUGGUUACUUUUGUACAAGUACCUGCUUUUUAUGACAUUUUGAACAAAUGAUAGUGGACAAAGCCAGCCCCAGCUGGUAGGGUGCUGUUCACUUGAUCGGGUGCUGUUGUGCUGAAAGGAAACUGACUAAUUUAGAUAGUAGCUUUCCUUUUUCCAAAUUCUUCCCCUUGAAUUCUUACAGUUAAUAUUGACAGUUUUUUGAUUACAGUAAGUAUGCUGUACGAGAAACUAUUAAUACAGAUUAAAAGCAUUUCUUACAUCUUGAAAUUUUUCUAAUGUUUUGAGAACUUUACUGGGGAUAUUUUUUAUAUCAAACCCUUUGGACCUUCCAGUCCUAUGGCUUUUUACUUGGAGUAGAAAGUCAGAUACUCUCUGUACUGGAAAAGUGAGGAAGUUGACUGACCACGCACUGUGUUGAGAGACCCUGUCCCACCACAGUGCCAAUGCUUCUCAGACACAUGCUCUUCAGCAGCAUUCCAGAAAACAGGAGGGAAGAAGAAGAGAAAACGGUUCAUUCUUCCCUUCUACUAAAAUAUUCGGGCAGCUCGAAACCUUAGUGCUUUCUUUCUUAACAUGUCCAAAUUUCAAUACUUUCCAUAUUUGAGCGCUUGUGUAGGACAUUUGCUUUGUAUUAAUUCUCUUUUGUCUUUGUGUCCAACUGACCUUUCGUUAUUGAGCAGGUGUAUCUCUUUCAAAUAGUUUGAUGACUUGCGUGGCCUCGAGGACCCCAGGGAGAGGAGUAGGGGCUAUGGUGGUUUUUGGAUGGUUCUAAGAAAACUAUCUGCCAUGGAAAACUGAAACCCAGAGACCUGAUAGGGAUUUAUUAACUGUAUCAAACCCUUUUUCUUCUGCUUUUGACUCUAUGUAUAGUUAUGAUGCUAGGUUAGAUUUAUAGCAGCUUUAAGUUGUAUUAAAUGAUAUUCUACUUUCUGUAAUACGGUUAUAAAAUAAAGUUUGUUUAUUCUCUA